UACGUAGGUGGCAAGCGUUGUCCGGAUUUACUGGGCGUAAAGAGCGCGCAGGCGGUCGUCCAAGUCGCGUGUGAAAGCCCCCGGCUCAACUGGGGAGGGUCACGCGAUACUGGUCGACUCGAAGGCAGGAGAGGGUAGUGGAAUUCCCGGUGUAGUGGUGAAAUGCGUAGAUAUCGGGAGGAACACCAGUGGCGAAGGCGGCUUUCUGGCCUGUUCUUGACGCUGAGGCGCGAAAGCUAGGGGAGCGAACGGG
rnacentral:rRNA from 1 species